rnacentral:tRNA from 1 species
GCCCUGAUAGUAUAACUAUUACACUGGUCUUGUAAACCAGUAAUGAAAAACCUCUUUUCUCAGGACC